AACAUUGCAAAUCAGUUUACAUGUAAACACAAAAAGUAAACCAACCGUUUACCAUUUCCCGUUAGUUUUUUCGCCGACUCUCUGACGACUGUUUUUCCUUUUUUGAGUGAUCGCAGUUCAUAAUUAUUGAAUUUGUGAGAUGUAAAGACGUGCGUUUUAAAUAGAACAGUGGAAAAGUUAAUAACUAAAAAUAAUUAAUUGAAAAAUAAGUACAUAUAAGUAUUAUUUAGAAGUGUUAUAAAUAAAAUAAAAUAAAAAAGGCCUUUACAAUAUAAAAGGGAAUACUGGAAAUAAGGUGCUUCCAAAACUUAAAAGAACAUCAACAUCCAUCAACCAAAACGGAAAUAACCACAUCAUCGUCGAAGAAGCAGGAACAAUUAAUAGCUAUACAUUGGAUCCCACAUUUUUUGAAGGUAGUCAAUAUCAAUUCAAAGCACCAUUGAUGCAGCUUUAUCCAAAUCUAUGGGAAGAAUCGUCGAGGAGGUAAGAAGCUUGCGGCUAGAUAUAGCAGAGUUGAGGAAUAGCAGAGACAAUGUUCCAUCAAAAAAGAUUAUGCCAGCGGAACCUUUAAACACAGUGGAGCAAUUUAUGGAAUUGGAGAGUUUACUCGAGAAGGAUGAAGAGUAUGCUAAAUUUAAAUGGGAACUUAUGCAAAAUAUUAAAUACACAGAAGCGAAAUUCGUCAGAACAGCUUGGCGCUCAUUGGUAUCCGAUGAAUGUGCUCAACAUUUUGCUUGGAGUGGAACGUCAGACAAAAAACCUGUCCGCGUCUUAAAAGUAUCUAUGGCUAUCCGAGAUGUCUUCUUACAUGAAGUGAAGGGCAAUGACACUGAAUAUACAUACAUAUAAGUGGCACCAAGACGAUUUUUCAGUUUGCCAAAAAUAGACAAAAACGGAAACAUCAAAAUGCAGCAAAUUAUUUAU